rnacentral:rRNA from 1 species
GACGAACGCUGGCGGCGUGCCUAAUACAUGCAAGUCGAACGCUUUUUCUUUCACCGGAGCUUGCUCCACCGAAAGAAAAAGAGUGGCGAACGGGUGAGUAACACGUGGGUAACCUGCCCAUCAGAAGGGGAUAACACUUGGAAACAGGUGCUAAUACCGUAUAACACUAUUUUCCGCAUGGAAGAAAGUUGAAAGGCGCUUUUGCGUCACUGAUGGAUGGACCCGCGGUGCAUUAGCUAGUUGGUGAGGUAACGGCUCACCAAGGCAACGAUGCAUAGCCGACCUGCGAGGGUGAUCGGCCACACUGGGACUGAGACGCGGCCCAGACUCCUACGGGAGGCAGCAGUAGGGAAUCUUCGGCAAUGGACGAAAGUCUGACCGAGCAACGCCGCGUGAGUGAAGAAGGUUUCCGGAUCGUAAAACUCUGUUGUUAGAGAAGAACAAGGAUGAGAGUAAAAUGUUCAUCCCUUGACGGUAUCUAACCAGAAAGCCACGGCUAACUACGUGCCAGCAGCCGCAGUAA